rnacentral:rRNA from 1 species
CGCGUAGGCGGGCGGUCGAGUCAGGGGUGAAAUCUUUCGGCCCAACCGGAAAAGGGCCCCUGAUACCGGCCGUCUCGAGGGAGGUAGGGGCGUGUGGAACUUCCGGUGGAGCGGUGAAAUGCGUAGAUAUCGGAAGGAACGCCGGUGGCGAAAGCGACGCGCUGGACCUCUUCUGACGCUGAGGCGCGAAAGCCAGGGGAGCAAACGGGAUUAGAUACCCCGGUAGUCCUGGCCCUAAACGAUGGGUACUAGGUAGUGGACUAGACAUGGGUUCACUGCCGGAGCAAAAGUGUUAAGUACCCCGCCUGGGGAGUAUGGUCGCAAGGCUGAA